rnacentral:rRNA from 1 species
GACGAACGCUGGCGGCGUGCUUAACACAUGCAAGUCGAACGGAAAGGCCCCUUCGGGGGUACUCGAGUGGCGAACGGGUGAGUAACACGUGAGUAACCUGCCCUUGACUUCGGGAUAACUUCAGGAAACUGGGGCUAAUACCGGAUAGGAAUCCUUGCUGCAUGGUGGGGGUUGGAAAGCUUCGGCGGUUUUGGAUGGACUCGCGGCUUAUCAGCUUGUUGGUGGGGUAGUGGCUUACCAAGGCUUUGACGGGUAGCCGGCCUGAGAGGGCGACCGGCCACAUUGGGACUGAGAUACGGCCCAGACGCCUACGGGAGGCAGCAGUGGGGAAUAUUGCACAAUGGGCGGAAGCCUGAUGCAGCAACGCCGCGUGCGGGAUGACGGCCUUCGGGUUGUAAACCGCUUUCAGCAGGGGCGAAGCUUGUGGUGACGGUACCUGCAGAAGAAGCACCGGCUAACUACGUG